rnacentral:rRNA from 1 species
AUUGAACGCUGGCGGCAUGCUUUACACAUGCAAGUCGAACGGCAGCGCGGGCUUCGGCCUGGCGGCGAGUGGCGAACGGGUGAGUAAUGCAUCGGAACGUGCCCAGUAGUGGGGGAUAGCCCGGCGAAAGCCGGAUUAAUACCGCAUACGACCUGAGGGUGAAAGCGGGGGGCCGAAAGGCCUCGCGCUAUUGGAGCGGCCGAUGUCGGAUUAGCUAGUUGGUGGGGUAAAGGCUUACCAAGGCGACGAUCCGUAGCUGGUCUGAGAGGACGACCAGCCACACUGGGACUGAGACACGGCCAAGACUCCUACGGGAGGCAGCAGUGGGGAAUUUUGGACAAUGGGGGCAACCCUGAUCCAGCCAUGCCGCGUGCGGGAAGAAGGCCUUCGGGUGGUAAACCGCUUUUGUUCGGGAAGAAAUCCUCUGGGCUAAUACCCCGGGGGGAUGACGGUACCGGAAGAAUAAGCACCGGCUAACUACGUG